rnacentral:lncRNA from 1 species
AAUGGGCAGAAUAAGCUUAUAGCAAGCAUUUUUAUUUAUUUUUUUCUUCUCUGCACUAUGCAUUAAGCUAAGCAUCAAGGUUUUAACUGUGAGCAAUUUGACAUGUCCUUUGUUAAUGUGGAGGUUAGGGUGGGAGGGUGGCCUGUAAUAUCAUUGUACUAUUGGUCAGAAUAUGAAAGAAAAGCAAACAUUCUGUGCAACCUUGAGUCUUAAUUAAGGAGGGACUUCAUGCUAUCCAGAAGGCAGCAGAGUCCUAUAGAAUUGGAAGAAACUAAGUGGGCAAAGGAUUGUGGAAAGUCAUAGGAGAAAAGCAGAGUAGAUAUAACACCAGGAGACAAAAGAAAGUCUACCUCAAGGUUGCUGCUAGUUAUACAAACAAGGGAACGAAAUGUCGAGGAGGGGAAGAGAUAAGCUAGUAUCACUAGAGUCACUAGUGUGUUCUGGUUAGACCUGAAAUCCCAAUUGGAGACCUUUCGCCUCCCAGCUCUGCAUUCUGAAUCCUUGCUUGCAGUGUUUGUCUCUGCCUCUGUCAUCUAGCAGACAGGCAGUUUACAGGAAAGGUUUUGGCUGCCUGGGUCCAAACACAAAGGCCAGGGAGCAGAGGAACCAAGCUCCAUCUGCUGAGCCUCUAGAGCCCCUGAGCCUUGUCCCUUUGCCACCGUGAAAACUGGGACUCCCGCCACUGGAAGAUUAGUCACAGAUGCUGUAAAUGCAUCUGCAAUAUUGUGUCAAAAAAGACGUGCGGCAGCAUUCUGAUAGCAGGCUUAUUAGCCUGUUAUUAUCCAUUCACCCAAAUAUUCCGGCUAAUCAGCCUUCAGAUGGGCAGGAUUAAUUGGUUACAAUCCUAGCACUGGGCACAUGUAAUUGAAAUGGAUGUAUUUGCCUUUCAUAAUGGACAGCUUAUCCAUUGCCAUUACACCGGGAGCACGCCCCAGCUCGUGGAUUUUACUGUCAGGGCCAUUACCGUGGAGGCCACAGAAGGAUGAAUGGGGCACUUUUCUCACUUUUGCUCAGAAGUAUAACCACCUUCUACUUGUAUCAUGAUUAAGUUUGUCAUGUAUUUGUCUUCCUAAAAGGUCUGUGAGUUGCUCUAAGGGAGGUUUUUUUUUUUUUUUUCCUUAGUAUUGUGUCUGGCUAUGUGUCUAUAUAAGCAUCAAAGGAGGGUUUGGGAAGGUGAUCAGUCAGUAAAGUGCUUGCCAUGCAAACAGGCCUGGGUCCAAUGCUUAGCACACACACACAAAGUGGAGUGUGGUGUCCUCUGUCUGUAACCCCAGUUGCUCUGGGAGGCACAGAUAUGCAGAUGUCAGAGGCUAACAAACUGGAAACCUUUUUCAAUUUUGCUAGUCCUAGUAAGACAUUCUGUCUCAAAAAUUAAGCUAUAUACGUCCUGAGGAAUAACACCCUGGAGUUUCCUCUUGCUUCCACACAUUCACAACAUACCCACACAUACUCAAACACACACACACACACACACACACACACACACACACACACACAGCAAAUAGUAAUUUUCUAAAAGAUACAAUUUAACAGCCAUAGUGGUAUAUGCCUUUAGUCCCUGGACUUUGAAAACAUUGGCUGGUGGAUGUCUGUGAAUUCAAGGACCUCCUGGUCUACAUAGAAAGUUAAAACCAACCAUACCUAAUAGAACAGGUCUCAAACACAACAACCAAUCUAACAAAGACAUUUAAAUACUAAAAUCUUUUUAAAAGGGAGAGAACUCAGGAGAUGAUUCAAUAGAUAAGAAGCUUUGUUGAAGAUUGGAGAGAUUGCUCAAUGGUUAAGAGCCCUAGGUUAUUUCUUCAGAGGACAUGGGUUCUUCUUGUUCUUGGACUUUAAUUUGAUUCUUGGCAGCCAUGUUAAUCCAGUGACUAUUGCUUACAUGUCCAGCUUCAGGGCAUUGAACACCAUCUUCUGAUCUCUAUAGGUAUCCACACAUAUGACAUAUAUUCACAAAAACACAUACAUAGUCACAUUAAUUAAAAACAACAAAAUCUCUCUUAUAAUGAGAGCCAAGUCAAGUCUGACUCAGCAACUCCCUAGUGUGUCUGAAGAAAAAAAAAAUCAAUUCUCCUGUUUGAUUCCCAGACAGGCGAUGGGAGGGAUCAGAGAGGGGAAAGGGGACAAAGUAAAAGCUAGUGACAUAUUUCAGAGAAAUUGGUUCUUUUGUAAAGGAACUUUCUGAAAUGCUUCUCUAAAGACACAUGUCCAUAGAACGUGCUCAUGUGACUAAGUUGCAUUUGUUGGAUGCAAUACACCAAUCUAAGAAAAGAAAAAGAAAAAGAAAACGG